rnacentral:misc_RNA from 1 species
AUUCUCAACCUAACAAGHUUGUAACGAGCUUGCUUAGGCUUGGACUUGGAGGHCUUGCUGGCUGCUCGUUCAGUCCGGCUCCUCUCAAAUGCAUUAGCUUGGUUCCUCUGCGGAUCGGCUCACGGUGUGAUAAUUGUCUACGCCGCGACCGUUGAAGCGUAUAUAGGCCAGCUUCUAAUCGUCUCUUGCGAGACAAUUCUAUCGAA